rnacentral:rRNA from 1 species
UAAAUUUACCCACACAUGGGAUCAAUAGGAUACCAUAACGAUGAAGGUCGUAAUAGAAUACGAAAGUAUAUUAUUUACCUAAUUUAAUAUAUU